GAGAGGCGAUCUCAGGGACCUGUAAGGGGUUUCUAUUUAAAACAUCAACAAUUUGACUUUGAAGAUAAACCUCUCGACCGCCAGCUGUGUAAUUGAAUGAAACAUUCAUUGUGUGUUUAUAUUCUCAAUGCGGAUAGGACUUGAACUAUAACACCAAUUAUAGCGCCGGAUUGGAGCAACGUUAAAUAGUUCACAGGCCCAACACAAUCCUCUCUCCGUCCAGAUACCAAUUACACAACAACAUCUCAGUCUGAAGAAGGGUCUCGACUCUAAACGUCACCCAUUACUUCUAUCCAGAGAUGCUGCCUGUCCCGCUGAGUUACUCCAAUAUUCUGUGUUUAUUUCACAUCCCUUGCAGCUUACAAAACAAUUUAGGUUUUCAGGAAGAUCAUUCCGGUUUAUACUUCCUCCUAGAUCUAGUUCCGGAUGACCAUGAUGAUCCUGAGAGUAAAGCUAUUGAUUGUCCGGGCGGUCAGUUCCCGAUGGACGGUGGCGCCGAUGACCUUCUGAUGCUAACAGUUGCCGGCGGUGACGUGGACAUUGGUGGUGAAUCUAGCAUGAUACCUUGUUUCCAAAGCCUGUCUUGAAAUGAUG